rnacentral:rRNA from 1 species
UACGGGAGGUAGCAGGGGGAAUAUUGCACAAUGGGCGAAAGCCUGAUGCAGCUAUGCCGCGUGUAUGAAGAAGGCCUUAGGGUUGUAAAGUACUUUCAUCGGGGAGGAAAAAACAAAACUAAUAAUUUUAUUUCUUGACGUUACCCGAAAAAGAAGCACCGGCUAACUCCGUGCCAGCAGCCGCGGUAAUACGGAGGGUGCUAGCGUUAAUCAGAAUUACUGGGCGUAAAGAGCACGUAGGUGGUUUUUUUAAGUCAGAUGUGAAAUCCCUGGGCUUAACCUGGAACUGCAUUUUUGAAACUGAAAUACUAGAGUAUCGUAGAGGGAGGUAGAAUUCUAGGUGUAGCGGUGAAAUGCGUAGAUAUCUGGAGGAAUACCUGUGGCGAAAGCGGCCUCCUAAACGAAUACUGACACUGAGGGUGCGAAAGCGUGGGGAGCAAACAGGGAUUAGAUACC